rnacentral:sRNA from 1 species
GGUUAACUGGAACUCCAUUUAUCACCUUGAUUUGGCUGAUCUGUCUGCCUAGGCAGGUGUCCACAUUCACCCAGAUCCCUGCUAAAUCUGCAUGCACACUUGCUUUCUUGGUGGAAGAGGAAAGCCUUCAGAGAGAGAGGAGGACCAGUCUUCCAGAUCAAGAGUACAAGAGUGGGUGUGCUCCCCUGCUAGAACCAAGGCAAGCUAGAAAGAAAUUAUGGGGACUUGGAAAGGGAAAAGAGCCUGAAGUCUGAUUGAAGGCCCUUAAGAGCUGAGAAGCAAGAAUUCCAGCACAGUUA